AGAACUGUAGGUAUUGUAUACCUUAUGGAGGACAAAUAUCAGACAAGAACGAAGGAGUUUUCAUACUUAAGGAAGCCAUUUAACCCUCAAAAUGGAGGGACCAGCAAUGAAACACUAGCUAUCUACUGCCAGGCUUUACAAGCCAUUUCAUUUAUGUGAUGACAUAUGAAAACUAGAAGCUUUUAUUAAAAAAGGCAAUUGCAGAAUACUGUCAUUUUUCUGUGCAAAAGGUACCUAUCACUUCUCUGUGUGCUGGAAGAACUGGAAAGAAUGAGAUGAGUGAUUGGUGUUUGGACAAUAUAUCCACCUAGAAACAAAGAGGAAGACUAUUACAUUUUAAAACACACAUUUCCUUCACUGGGUGCUUUAUGCAGAAAAGCUGAGCCUGCAGAAUAUGAACCAGAUGGAGAAAAAAGUUUGCAAACAAGAUUCUGGUAAACUUGAACAAGGAGUUGGUCAUUGUUCAUCAUAAAAAUUGGUUAAGUAUAAGCGGUGGAAGUGACACAGGCAAGGGAAGAAAGGUAACAACCACAUUGUGCCUACAGUCUAUAGAAAUGGCCUAACUUGAAAUUUCAAGAGUUGCUCAAGGGCAUUGGACAAAAUUGUGGGAUUGACUAUGCAAGAAACCAGACUAUCAUGUAAGUAAAACAGAGGGUAUGCAGUAAAUUCUCCUUCAUAAUGAUUCUGCUCAUUUGCACUUUUUAAAAUAGUGUUUCUUUACUGCUACCAUUUGUACCUAGUGUGAAAGCCCAGAUGCAUAUAUCUGUGAGAUAGAACAGUUUUAAGUGAAAUGUCCUUCAAAGAUUUGAAGUACUAAUGAAGUACACUGUCAUUUGGAGAGGUGAAAGGCUUUAUAAGGCAACCAGUGAGCUGAGUGGCAGUUCUGUACUGAGACUCUUCUGGAUUUAGACA